GACCCCUAAAAAGGCCCCUAAGCA
rnacentral:tRNA from 1 species